rnacentral:rRNA from 1 species
GAUGAACGCUGGCGGCGUGCCUAAUACAUGCAAGUCGAGCGAACGGACGAGAAGCUUGCUUUUCUGAUGUUAGCGGCGGACGGGUGAGUAACACGUGGAUAACCUACCUAUAAGACUGGGAUAACUUCGGGAAACCGGAGCUAAUACCGGAUAAUAUUUUGAACCGCAUGGUUCAAAAGUGAAAGACGGUCUUGCUGUCACUUAUAGAUGGAUCCGCGCUGCAUUAGCUAGUUGGUAAGGUAACGGCUUACCAAGGCAACGAUGCAUAGCCGACCUGAGAGGGUGAUCGGCCACACUGGAACUGAGACACGGUCCAGACUCCUACGGGAGGCAGCAGUAGGGAAUCUUCCGCAAUGGGCGAAAGCCUGACGGAGCAACGCCGCGUGAGAGAUGAAGGUCUUCGGAUCGUAAAACUCUGUUAUUAGGGAAGAACAUAUGUGUAAGUAACUGUGCACAUCGUGACGGUACCUAAUCAGAAAGCAACGGCUAACUACGUG